rnacentral:tRNA from 1 species
ACCUGGCUGGCUCAGUGGGAAGUGUGCACGACUGUUGAUCUUGGGGUUGUGAGUUCGAGCCCCGUGCUGGGUG